rnacentral:rRNA from 1 species
AGAGUUUGAUCCUGGCUCAGGGUGAACGCUGGCGGCGUGCUUGACACAUGCAAGUCGAACGGUAUGUGGCAACACAUAGAGUGGCGAACGGGUGAGUAACACGUGGGAACGUAUCUUUUGCAGGGGGAUAACUGACCGAAAGGACAGCUAAUACCGCAUAAGUCCGGGAGGAGAAAGGUGCAACAGCAUCGGCAGAAGAGCGGCCCGCGGUCCAUCAGCUAGUUGGUGAGGUAAGGGCUUACCAAGGCGACGACGGAUAGCCGGCGUGAGAGCGUGGCCGGCCACAAGGACACUGAGAUACGGGUCCUACUCCUACGGGAGGCAGCAGUGCGGAAUUUUAGAUAAUGGAGGGAACUCUGAUCUAGCGACGCCGCGUGCAGGAAGAAGGUCUUCGGAUUGUAAACUGCUGUGGUAAGGGAAAAAUGCUAUGUAGAGUGGAAAGCUACAUAGAGGGAUGGUACCUUACUAGAAAGCCCCGGCUAACUACGUGCCAGCAGCCGCGGUAAUACGUAGGGGGCGAGCGUUACCCGGAAUCACUGGGCGUAAAGGGAGCGUAGGUGGCCUAACAUGUCAACUGUGAAAACCCGGAGCUCAACUCCGGACUUGCAGUUGAAACUGGUAGGCUUGAGGACGGUAGAGGAAGACGGAACUGCCAGUGUAGGGGUAAAAUCCUUAGAUAUUGGCAGGAACGCCGGUGACGAAGGUGGUUUUCUGGGCCGGUUCUGACACUGAUGCUCGAAAGCCAGGGGAGCGAACGGGAUUGAUACCCCGGUAGUCCUGGCCCUAAACGAUGUUCACUAGGUGUGGGGAGCGGAAAGCUCUCCGUGCUAAAGCUAACGCGAUAAGUGAACCGCCUGGGGAGUACGCCCCGCAAGGUGAAACUCAAGGAAUUGACGG